UGUCUCAAACAGCUCUCUUCCAGUCAAGGUCCUCCCUUUAAGUAGUCACAGCUAAAGUCACCCUGUCUCCCUUUCUAGGCUCUGGUUCCAGUUCCUCCUCUCCCCUUCAGGCUCACUGACUUCUCCCUGUCUGUACACCACAGCACCCAUAGUUGAUUGAACCGGAACUAAUCCUCAGAGCAGAGUGACAAAUUGAUUUCUUCGUCUUCUGAGCAACCAAAUGAACGGGCUAAUACCAGAGGAGAAGACCUCGGGUCAUUCAUUCUCCGGUUCAUCAAACUAAAGCUGUGGACGAGCCCGUGACCUAGGCAUCAGGACCCAAAGAUAAAUGGUGUGAUGCGUUUGAUUGGAGGAAAGUAAAGGUUGCUGAGAGCUCUGAGGAAGGAACCUUUGAUCCUGUUAAGAGCCAGUGGAAGAGGUCACAGAGUUGGUGAUGCUUGGUUUUUGAUGGUUACGAUGUUGAGCCCUCCUGUGGGGACCCUUGGGGCUGUGAACAGUGCGUUUAAGCCUCUGUCCCUUGUUCCUACUCUCCAAGCAACUGUCAUUUGUUUAUGUGAGAUCACCUGUGAGCUGAAAGAUGGACAAACUGUCUUUGAAUUUCUAGUUAUCUAUCCCGACCUGCCAUAGUGUCCACUUCUGUGUCAGACACAUGCCUGGUGCUAGAGAAAUUAUCUGUGUGCUAGGACAAACGCAGAGGAGUGUAGCAUCAGGAAACGCUCAGACAGGAGGCAGGCAUGGCAAGAGCAGUCUGCCACAGCAGAGGUGCAGAGCCCUCUGAGGAGGAAAGAAGGCGCCAGGAAAUGGAGACUCGAGGAAGCUCCCUUCAGAUCAACUGUCUGGAAGUGCUUUGCCUUGGAGCUAUGACAGCCAAGUGCCCAGAAUGACCUUGAGGUAACCGCCUGGGCUCCAGCUCUGGCAACAGCACCAGCACCUGACCGGAUUCAGCCAACCACUUCUCCACAGCCCUUCAAGGACCUGACUGCACACGGGCUCUGUCCAGCAGUGUCUCCCAGGAGGCAAUGGGAUUGCUCUGCUGGUUCCACAGGCUGGAAAACCUGCACACAUUCCUGUGAAGGACCCGGCUUUAGAGUCUGUGCAUACUGCCUCUGCCUGCCACCCUGGUCCACCAUCUCUGGACUAGCUGUCACCGCACUGGGUCCCAAGGAGUAAGCGCACGUCAUGAACUUUCAUAGCGAGUGCCUUUGACCUGCUGAGCCACCUCGAUGGCCCUUGAAUCUGCAUUUUCAUGAGCUCCUCAGUUGACAGACAACACAAGAGAUGAGUCUUGGAGAAACCCCUGCAGCUGAGAACUCAGGCUGGUAAACAGAACCAAGGCCAGCUGCUGAGAGCUGAAUUCCUAGUCAAUCUAAAGUGUUUUCCAAAAAACCGGAGCUGACUGAGAAUGUAAGAAGCCAGCUGGGUGCAGCUAUAACCCAGGAACUCAGAAAUCUGACAGGAAGGAUGGGAACAAAGAAGGAGGAGCAGGAGGAGGAAGAAAAGAGGAGGAGGGACCAAGAGGGCCGGGGGAGUGGAUGGCUCAGUGAAUAGAGUACUUGCUAAGCAAGCAUGAAGACUUGAGUUCAGAUCCUCAGAACCCACAUUAAAGCUAGAAACAGUAGCCUCUGUCUGUGACCCCAGUACUUCUGUGGGGAGACAGAAGGUGGGGCUGGAAGCCCUGACUAUUUACAUGGUGUGUGAAACAGCAAAUAAAGAAAUUCUAUCUCAAAAAAGGUGGAAGACAAGGACACUAGAAGUUGUCUUUGAACUUCACAUGUCCUCCGUGGCAUUCACACACGUGCGUGCACACACACACACACAGAGGUUAAAAACAAAAGCAAUGGCCCACCAUACAUGUGUAAGCAGCCAUACAUGUGUAAGCAGAUGUUGGUUCCAUACUAAGCAGAGACAGGAGAUAAAAACUUGGACGUUAGCCCGGAGUUCACUGGAAGUCUUCUUUUUCACAGCCCUUAUUUCUCAGGACCAUGCUGUUA